UGGCAUAUGGAAGUUCCCAGGCUAGGGGUCUAAUCGGAGCUGUAGCCGCCGGCCUACACCAGAGCCACAGCAAUGCCAGAUAUCAGCCGUGUCUGCAACCUACACCACAGCUCAUGGCAAAGCUGGAUCCUUAACCCACUGAGCGAAGCCAGGGAUCAAACUCGAAACCUCAUGGUUCCCACUCUACACCUGAAUUUCAAUUGCACAUUGGUCAUUUCAUCCAGGUUAAUGUUGGGACUUCAAAUUAGUGGUAUGUCCAAAACUGAACCACUCUCCCUCACCCAACCAAACCAGGCCCUCUUCUGGAUAUUUUUAUGUCCUCUUGUUUUGUUUCAUAGCCUUGAUUUUCAAAAUUCCAAAAGAGCUCUUAAUAGUCUCUCCACCUUGGCCUCCAAAUCAAAUUAUUUUAUGGACUCAUAGAUUUAUCAUCAUCGUUGAAAUCCAUUUCAUCAUGUUUAUUCACACUGCCUCUACUAUAUUUUAUCAGUCUUUAUUGAAAAAUAUUCAUUUUUUCAAGUUCUAAGGAAACUAAUAAUGGAAUACCUUUUUCCACACAUCUGAAGAUACAAUUAAAAACAGCAUCCUAAUAUAACAUAUUGUAGUUCUAUGUGUUUUCUGUCAUUAACAGAUAAAAAUGAGCCGGAAAAAUGUCACAUCUCAAUAUACGUAACAGUGAAAUUCUGAGGAAGGGAUAAUGCUGAUAGUGAGAUGCUGGUAGACAGAAGAGACACCUAUAUUUAUAGAUUUGCUGUGUUAUGAAGGAAUUAGGUAUUCAGCUUUCUUUGUGCAACUGGAUUAUUUUCCACAUCACACUUUUGCAAAGGCUUCAAGAGUAGACAUCACAUUUUGUAAGAAGUAAAUAUUUGUUGAGUGCUUUUCCCACAGCCUCUGCAAACCCACUGUGGACAAAGAACCAUCUGUUUUGCCCUGACCACAAAGCACUGGUGGCCCCUCACAAAUUUCCAUGUAUUGGGUCUCUUCAGAGAAGCCUAUGGUCCAGGAGAGAUGUGUGAUAAUAUGGUUACUUGCAGGCCCUUUUAGCACCAGUAAGUAGGUAAAUGAUACCAUUUUCUGUUCUGGCCAUAGCACUCAAUAGUAAAAAAAACUUGCCAAAAUACAGUCAUUUUAAAUAACAUACCAAGAAUAAAUACACAGUGGUUGUUUUAUACUAGGUAAAAGAAAACAAAUAAAAUUUCAGCUCCAUGAAUGGAAAGAGGGACAUGAAGUGUCAAUUCAGAUAUGCCUAUCAUUUGUCCCUUUACUACCUGCGGAGCCUUGACAAAUUACAGAUCUCUCCAAGUCUCAGAUUCCCCUAAAAUAUAAAAUCAUAAUGAUAUCAACUACUUAUGGAGGGGAAGGACAAAUGAAAGUGCAUUCAUCUGACACAUCAAUAAAUGUUAAGUCCUACUUUCCUUUCCUUUUCCUAAUGAUUUAAUGGGACAAAAAUAGACUUUCCCUACUCCUGCUUGUGAACAGUUUCCAAACUAACUCAAAAAUAUGUUGCUCUGUUACAAUUUAGCAUAUGGCUACCAAAAUGUGUAUAAAUAUUUUCUCUAAACACAUGGAUUAUGUAUGAAUGUAAUUAAUUUCCACUGUUAAAGUUUAGACAAAAUGUCCAACUAUAUUAUCUAAGCAAAAAAUAUAUAUAUACUCUUUAUCGAUGAGUCAACUGUAAUUUCAUGAAACAUAUUAAUACACAAAAAAAUCUCUAGUUUUUCUUUAGUACGAAGGUGCACAGCGAUGCAUUCCAUUGCAUCUUUCAGAAAAGCAGGAUAGGGUUCCCGUGAUCUCCACUAUAAUUCUCCUCUCCAUUUAGAUUUAAUGGAGAGGCUCAAGAAAUAAAUCUCACAGUCCUGACCCCAGCUGAGGAGUCUCCAAGGACAGUCCAGAAGACAUUUAUCCUAAACACUAACUGAAGUUCUCCCACUGCCCUCUCUGUGGCUAAGAAUGGAUAGAAAAAGGAAAUCGAUACCUCUCUGUUUUCUAGAACGCAGUCUCAAAAUAACUGCAUUAAUACAUAAAUUAAAAAACCUUUAAAUUUAUGGGAGAAUUUAAAAAUUUAAAAUCAACUUUGCACAAUGUAAGUUUGCUAUUAAACAUAAGUCUAACAUGCAACAAAAAAAAUUCCCCAAUAUUUUCUUGAAAAUCUAAAAUGCUACCUGAAUAAGCAAAAUUACUAAAAGUUGGCAAUAGCUGGGUUAGAUAUAUGUAUUCCACACGUCAAAAUGUAAUAGUAAAAAAAAGAAAAGUGAUGGCAAAUAUUUAUAUAACACUUGCUAAAUGUGUAACUAGUUUUUGGUAACUUUAGAAAUGAGACUAUUACUUAAAUUUUACUUAAUAAUCAGUGUUUUCAAAACCAGGGUAUAGCAAAACUAACUGUCCUCACCGUCACUAAUGUGAAAGUUUGUUGCCACUGUGAAUUACUGAAAUUUAUUAAAUUAAAAAGUCAUACUGAAUUAUGAAUAUGGGAUUAUAAAUGCAUUUUUGCAUGUCACUAGAAGUAGAAAAUCAUAAUAAUAACAAUGAAAUAAUUAGAAAUUAAUAACAACUUCAGACCAGUGAGGAAUUUUUUUAAUUUAGGUUUUAAUUUCUUUCCAGAGCUACAUAAACAACUUGAAGAAGAAAUUUCAUCAUUACCUCAGGUUUUUAUACACAAAACGGAAUUUUCUUAAUGGCUAUGUGAUAAAAGAAGUGAAGAAAAUAGCUGUAUUUUUUAAAGUCACAGCUAAUUACUUAAAAAUAAAAUUUUCAAAAGUCAGAGAGAAUAAAUCAAUUUUAAUGAAAAUAUUUUCAAAACCCAUUUAAUUAUGCAAACAAUUCUAAACAUCCACUUCACUUCUGUUCUACUUCCAAUGUAGUUUUAUUUGACUUGAUAUAUUGCCUAAUUGACUACUUACAAUAUCAGUAAACAGUAACCAAAGCAUGACCACACUCUUACUCAAAUCAAAUGCUUUCAAGAAUGCAACAGACAUAGGAGCUUUUCCACAUACUUCUUACUAGCUGCUUUAAAAAAAGAAAAACUAUUUUAUUUAAGAAACAAUUGUCCAAAUAGCACAAGUAUCUUCUAACUAGGAAAAUAUAAUUUUUGGUAUAUCAAAUGUAUGUGCAUUAAUUUUCUAUUCCAUUAUUUUCAAAUCCUAAUGGCAUCAUUGGGUUGCAUAAAUGUGGUAGCUCCUUUAACCAUUACCAUUUCAUAAAAAUUAAAGAAAAUAAACUAUUGGGUUUUUUUGAAAGGAUAAUAUAUCAUUUGUAGUUAAGAAUAUAAAAAGUGCCUUUAUAGGUACGUGUUUGAAACUUCUCCCCUUUAUGUAUAACCCAUCACAGAAUGGCUGCUUGAUGCAGACUAAGAAAAAAAAUCAGUGUGCUACUUGCUUGCUAAUAAUCAUGUGUGGAUAAAUAUAUGAAAUAAUCAAAUGUUUAUUUUUCAUGAUUAAAAUUUCUUCAUUUAAAAAUUCUUGAACAGACCACACACUCAAGACAGAACUCCAGCUAAGAUUUUCUUUCUCUACCAUGUUCAAGACUGGGACAGAAAAUGUACAAUUAAUCAGUAAUCCAGGAUUUUUCAAAAUGUCCAAAUUUUGGCAUCCCAUUGAAAAGCUGCAGUAAAUUUAAUAGGCUGUUUUAAAUUUGAGACUACUUCCUCAUUACAUUCAGAUUAUAAAAUCAACUAACAGUCUAGGAACCAAUUUAAUUUACAUGUCUUCUUUCCUUCAGCUUCUACCUUCACUCCAAACCCUCUUUCCCAGCAGAUUUUAUUUCCUCUCAGUAAGCAAUUAAAAGUAAUCUGCAUGAUUAAGUUUAUCAAAAUCAGAGUAGGUGGCUUGUAGAAUUUAACAAUACUAUUUUCCCAUGAUAAACCAGUAGGCGGUGCUAACUCUAGGAUACUACUUUCAAAGAUUUUAAACCAAAACACUCACAGAAUAGGUGACCAAUUUAAAGAGCUGUAGAAUUCUCAAUAUAAUUUGAGCAGGAGAAAAUUUCAAAGUUCCAUUGCAGCAGAUAGAAAUUUAACAGAAGUAUGUAAUAUAAUGAUCAACAUUAAAUGGAAACCUAAUAUAAUUAAAGGUUUUCAGCAUGAUCUUUGUUUACAAAAUUUAAUGUGCAGCUACAUAUCUGCUCCCACUUGAAAUCCUGUGGACAUCUUCUUCCACCCCACUAUGGUUUCAAGCCCACUUGGAAAUAUACAGUACCAUCUGUGCUCUUACCAACCAGUCUUAACACACAGCUACGCCCAUUUUAGGGCCGCAAGAGAGCCUGUUAAUGAAAAUUCUGGUUUCUUUCUCACUCACUGUGUUUCUCUCUUUUAAAAGAACUAAAGGACUUACAGUGCAUACAUCCUUCAAAGAAAUAUUAGACGUGUAUUGUCUUGCGUUUUUAAAUAAAUGAGCAUUUCUAUUUAUAUACAUUAUUUUCUAACAGUGAUUUUUAAAAACUCACAGAAUGUUGCAAGUGGCUUCUUAAAUGUUUUUGCUAGCUGUUUAAACCAUACGAAAGACUACAUUUUACUAGAGUGCUUACCACCACCACAACAAAAAAAACAAAAUUUAAAGCUUAGUUACAUAAUAUAUGCAUCAAAUCUUAGAACCAUGCCCUUCAGGAUAUCAAGUCUGGUGAUCCACACACAGGACAGAAACUAUCUUCCUGACAUAAAUGCAACAGGACUUUCUUAACAGAUAAAAGCUACCCUGAGCAGGAAAGUAAAUCACACUGCUACUUCCAAAGACCUCUGAAAUGAGAGAGAAUACUGUGAAUUAAAAAAUAUAUAUAGCCUUCUAGAUAUUGCAAUAAAUUUUAAUCUUCUACAGAUUAAUUAUCACUUGCACUCCCUCUCUCCCCACAAAGAGUAAAGAAACACAGACAUAAAACUUCACAAACUGAGCUUACAGACAAAUAUUUGCUUGAAAAAGACACUGUAUAUUAUUAAAAUGUUUGUCAUGGGCCCUUCUCUAUGUUGAAUUUAGUGUUUUAUGUCUAUACAUAACCUAGAAGAAAACUUAAUCUGAGAAGUAAAAGUUAUUUCACCUGCCUUAUUUAACAGAAUUCAAAUUACACAAAGCUUCAGAAUCAAAUCAUUUAAAUAACUGCCUCCAGACUUAAGAUUUAAAGUACAACACAAAAUUUAUUUGGACAGCAAGUUUGCCAGCAGAUUUUCACUGCGUUAAGUACAUAAAUGGCUUUUUACUACCAAAAAGUAGUACCAGAUUAUUUUAUUUACCUUCAAAAAGUAGUACCAGAUUAUACUGGAAAUGUAACAGGACAAUCAUAAAAUGUCUUAAACUCCAUAGAAAGCAUUCAACAUUGAGUACUAUGUUAUGCUACCAACACACUGAAAUCUAUCACCACCGUCACCAACUCCUACCCCUGUCCUGUGCCACGUCUCAGGGGAAAAGCUUUGUAACCACCAUCAGGUGGUUAAAAAGAGGGAAAACACAUCGUGCUUUUAAUGCUCAACCUUACGGAUGUAGUCUCACCAAUGCAAACUGUUUUGUCCUCAACAUUAAAUCCAACUGACCAUCACAGAAAGUAGAUAUCUUCCCCCACCCUGGAAGACGCCAGGCACUUAAAACCAAAGCAACACAAAAGGGAAAGAAAAGAUCCAAAGACAGCACCAUUAAAAAGGCGAAACCCUUCCGAACAAGAAAAACAGGCUGGCAAAGACCUACUGCGUUGUUUACUCAAGGCAAAGAAGAGGAGCGGGAGUUGAGCGUGCGGGGGUUGGUGCCAUCCUCAGGGAUCUGGAAAGGUCUCAAGCACCCCGGGUCCCCUGGCUAGGACCCAGCCCCUUCGGAAGAACUGCCCCUGCCGCUUCUCCCACAGUCUCCCCGGCGCUCCGAUGGGCCGCCCCAGCCGGCUCGCGCAGCGUCCUUGGCCCUCACCCCUUCUGCUCUUCAAGUGGCCCUCGGAGAACUUACAGGGCCCGCCGGCUCCUGUGUCCCCGGCCGGCGCCGCCCGGGGCGCAGACGCCGCCCGCUGCGGAGAUGACCAGGGCGCAGCCGAGGGAGGGACAGUAUUUUGCGCACAUACAAAAACCAGCCCCAGGCCGGGGACGGACUUUGGUUUCCCCUAGCUCCCCUCACGGUUUUCCCCACCGCGGGCUCGGACCCUGCCCGAGCCGCGCGCGCGCACACACGCGCAUAAA
rnacentral:lncRNA from 1 species